UGGGGUUUUGGAGUGGGGGCCUCUGGGUCCACCUCCCACCCGUGUCUAUCGUACCUUGUUGCUUCGGCGGGCCCGCCGUUUCGACGGCCGCCGGGGAGGCCUUGCGCCCCCGGGCCCGCGCCCGCCGAAGACCCCAACAUGAACGCUGUUCUGAAAGUAUGCAGUCUGAGUUGAUUAUCGUAAUCAGUUAAAACUUUCAACAACGGAUCUCUUGGUUCCGGCAUCGAUGAAGAACGCAGCGAAAUGCGAUAAGUAAUGUGAAUUGCAGAAUUCAGUGAAUCAUCGAGUCUUUGAACGCACAUUGCGCCCCCUGGUAUUCCGGGGGGCAUGCCUGUCCGAGCGUCAUUGCUGCCCUCAAGCACGGCUUGUGUGUUGGGCCCCCGUCCCCCUCUCCCGGGGGACGGGCCCGAAAGGCAGCGGCGGCACCGCGUCCGGUCCUCGAGCGUAUGGGGCUUUGUCACCUGCUCUGUAGGCCCGGCCGGCGCCAGCCGACACCCAACUUUAUUUUUCUAAGGUUGACCUCGGAUCAGGUAGGGAUACCCGCUGAACUUAAGCAUAUCAAUAAAGCGGAGGUAUU
rnacentral:rRNA from 1 species